CAUAUUCAGAGAUUACUGUCAAGAAAAACAAGGAAAAGAUGGACAAAGGGAAGAGCAGUGAGUCUGGAGACACUUUGUACUCUGAACUGAAGCACAACACAGACAGAGGAGCUGAUGCUGGUGAUGAAACUUGUGCUCAACCUUUGAGGAAGAAGAAUAAAACACGUCUCUGAGUGCAGUGAAGACAACAGACGGCUAAAAGAGAUUCACAGCAGCAGACACAGUGACGCUUGCAUUGCAUUGCAUAUAAAUGAGUAGAUGAUUAAACUGAAUGAUUAAAUGAUAAAUGACUAUAAAUGAAUAUAAAAGAAAGAAAGUAAAACACAACACAAAUGUAUGAUUGCUUUCUCGAAUCUAAACACACACAGUUUGAUGAUCCUCAGAUUCUUCACAGAUGAGCUCUUAUGUUCAACACAACUCUGGGAGAAACUGAUCUAAAGUUAUUAUUACAUUAUUAUAUAAUCUCUGUGCUGCCAAUAGAACCAACAGAAUAAUAAAG